AAAUAUAUAUAAAAGAUAAAAUUGAGACAAAAUUGUUACUUUAAGUCUCAUUUCUAAUGAAAAAACUACUUUAAAUACUAAUUUGAAAAUCAUGAUAUAACUUAGGGGUUAAUUUACAAAACAACACAGCAAAACCAAAACCAUAAAGCAAAGAAAAACGGCCCAAGAAACAGCCCAUAGAAACAAAGACCCAGCAGACUAAUCAGCAGGGGAUCUCUAAGACUAUGCGUCCCAGCUGGAAAAACAUCAACAAACCCCUACUUGAAACAUAACUCCACCGCCUAGGGAAAGCAACAAUUCAUUAAAACCAUCCAUCACGUCCAUCCAUCAAUCAGCAAGCUGGCAAAACCUACUCCCAAAAAAACCCAUCUCCUACCUUGAAUAAACCAACAAUUAGCUUUCUUCAAAGAACCCCUCUCCCUUCAACUUCAGCAGCCCGUCCCCUCAUCUCCCUAACUUGUUCCGUCCAUCUCUGUUCUUCGAUCGCCACAGCUUCAACACCAGGAAGAACCCUAUAUGACAGAUAAGUAGAAACUCCCAAUUUAAUUUCUUCAGACGCAAUUGCAUGAGCCACUCUGUUAAAAUCCCUAUGUAUGAAACGAAAAACACAGAGAUUAAAAUUUAAACUCCGCUGCUUUGAGUCUCUAAUAAAUGUUACGAUUUCUGAUCUGUCCUCAUGUUCUUGCAGUUUGUAGAUCACUGUCUGAGAAUCUCCCUCCACCUCCACUUCACUCAGCCCAAGUUGUACAUCUUGUAACGCCCCGAUUUUUGAGUUUGAAAGUAUUGGGCCUCGAGUCUAGGAUCGGGUAGAAGACAGCCCUAAUAAUUUGGAUAUUAUUAUUAUUAGAAAAAUAUUACUGUAUGUAUGUUUCAAAAUUUUUUAUGAAAAUUAUUAUUACUAUAAUUAUUAUUAUUAGAUAGGAAAAUAUAUAUAUUUAUAAAAGUAUUGUUGUCUUGGUGUUUAAACUCUAGAAAAAAAAUUGUUUUAAUUUUUGCCUCAUAGAGAGAAUAUGGGCAUAAGGCUUUUAAAAUAAAUUGGGCAAGACUGGGCCUGAAGAAGCGUACUUGGCCAAGUGGUUAGCAUGCUAGGUAGUGGGAAGGAGAGUUGGGGUUUGACUCCCAGCAUGUGCAAAAGUGUUUUAUUUUUCUUAUAUUAGGGAACGACACAGGGAAGCCUUAUAUAUAGUAGGGGUUAAAAGGUAACACAAAAGAAAGCUCGGUCCAAUGGCAGAGGCGCUGGGAGUGUGGUAUUGUGCCUAGGUUUGAGGAUUGGCGCACGCAAAGGCUUGUUUUUAUUUUAGAAGUCAGGUCGCACUAAAGUAAGGUUUAAGAAUAGUUGCGACCAAGUUAUGCCACAAGGAGUGCCUGUAGCGCAGUGGCAGCAGCGUGUUGGGCAUGCGAAGAGGGCACAGGUUCGAGUCCUUGCACGGGCGAAUUCUGUUUUAUUUUUAAAGCUUGGCGCAUGCAAAGGCUUGUUUUUAUUUUAGAAGCCAGGUCGCACUAACAUAAGGUUUAAGAACAGUUGUGACUUGAGUUAUGCCAGAAGAAGCACUUGUGGCGCAGUGGCAGCAGCGUGUUGGGCAUGCAGGGAGGGCGUAGGUUCGAGUCCUUGCACGAGCGAAUUCCGUUUUAUUUUUAAAGCGGGCCAGAACUGAAGCAGGUAAGGUUUAUAAUUAAUUGUAACCAUAUUUUAGUAAGGGAGAAAGUGUGGUGCAGUGGCCAGCAACUCGGGCGAAGGCGCAAGGGGGCAAGGCGGAUGGAGGUUUGGGGUUUGAGCCUCAUCUCGCGCAUGGAAGGUUGGGAUUUUUGCUGCAUGCAUGGGGAAGGAGUUGGGGUCUGAUCAGGACUCUUGGCAGCAUGCCGAGGCGGUGCAAACAGUGGGCUGAUCGGUCAAGAGUUUGAAUAGAAUUCAAACAUUGAAUGUGGCCAAAAAUCAAGGAGCAAUUCAGGGAAUUAGAAUUUCUAUGCCAAUAAGUACAGUAUAUUUUGGCCUUUAGGAUUCAGUUUUUUCUUCUUCUUUUUUUUUCUCUUCAUCUACUUUCUCCUUCUUUUCCUCCAUAGCCGAAUCCUUUUACUAUUUUACUCAUCUCCAUUUUUUAAUCAUUUGUUCCUAAGCUUAUGCACAAAAGCCGAAAUUUCGAGAGCCUAUAUUUCUUCUGUGCCGAUUUUUUCUAGCCAAACCUUCUGAUUCUUUUCCAUCUUGUGGCCGAUUCUUUUUUCUUGUAAACCCUGAAGUUCUGUCGACAAAGCCGUUACAAAAUUUUUAUAUCUCAUCUUCACUGUUUCAAAAAGCCGAAAGCCCCAUAGUUUAGGGGCAUAGUCGAAUCUUUAGACCAGAAAAGGAUCGACUUCUGCUAGGGUUUGAAGGUUAGAUCUACAUCAGAAUCGAAUAAGAACUAAAGUGGAAUCGUUGGCUGAAGGAACCGGUGGUAAGUUUUCGAAACUAUUUCUUUAUUUUGGGAGUUAAGAAAAGCAAAAACCCUUAUGGGUGGCUAGCGUUUUGGAUUAAGGGUUUUGUGCCUCUUUCUGUUUGGUUGUGUAAGCGUUAGUGUGGACAAAGAGGCGUACAGCAAAGGGCUUGAAGGUUAACUCGGUUGGACAUCUAGAUCUAGGCCAUAUUUCGGCAGAAAGGUAAGAAUUUUAGGGUUUAAGGCAUUAUCGGCUGAAUAUGGUAAGGGGUCUAGUACGUAACUUGUUCUUGAUAUUUAGACUGACAUAUUAGUAACUUGAUUGUAGGCAACUCGUGUGUGGAUCUCGCCAAUGUAUCGUUACAAAUCAGGUGUGUAAACGACACCCAUUAGUAGACUAGAUCGGCAAAAGCCGAAAGUCGAAAUGUUGAAAAGUCAGCAUUUCGAGAACUUGCGAGCGUGCGAGCGCUCGUGGGAUAUUUUGUAUUGAUAAUUUUGGUAACUUCAAUGGUAAGAUUGCAAAGUGCACAAUUUUGUGCACUUCGGUAUAUUUGGGCUCAAUGGGCCAAAAACGGGUUAAUGGGCUAAUGGGCCCAAUUCAGUAAAAACGCUCAAUAAGUGUCUGUUAAUACAUUAAUAACUGUAAUGAGCAUGAAACCUUAAAAAAAUUGAUAAAAUUACUGAAAUACCUCUGUAAGGUAGAAUUAUUGUAAUACCCCUGAAGUGGGUAAGUUUACGAUUACGCCCUUCGAGGGUAAAUAGCUGUUCUUACGCUAUAAUCUGACUGUCUUUCUGAAACAUGCCUUGUUAAUUAUAUAUAUUCUGCAUACAUGUCAUACUGCAUGGGGUUGGGUUUUGUUAUGGAGGAAGAACCCGUUCUGGUGGCUGUGCCACAUAUUCUGAUAUAAGCAGCUUUGCUGCGGAUUAUAGUUAGUGCCGCAACUGGUGCUAACACUGUAAGUGUAGGGGUGGCGUGGUGAUUUAUUCCCCACAAGAAGUGUAGGGAUGGACGGAGGCAAGUGCAGGGUUGGAUGAGGUUAUCAUGCAUUAAUCAUAUGAGACUGUUUUGUUAUGGGCCAACUGUAUUGAAUGGGCCCAACUGUGUUAAUAUUGGCAAGGCCCAAUAUAUCUCGACUUAUAAUAGGGCUGCGGCCCAGAUUAAUAUUGAUAUGGGCUAGGCUCAAUAUACUCUGAUACUGUAAGGGGCUAUGGCCCAGAUUAAUAUUGAUAUGGGCUAAGGCCCAGUUAACAUUGAUUUCUGAAUAGGGCUUAGGCCCAGUAAAGCUUGAACUGAUUUGGGCUCUGGUUGGGAUACUGUACACACUGAGUUUUCUAAACUCACCCUCUUUCUCUUCCAUCCUUGCAGGUGAGCCCCAGUUGGUAGACUUGGAGUUGGGCGGGAUUCAGAGUGGCCACGAAGAUUAAAUUUCUGGUUUUUAAAUAAGUUUCAAUUAGCUUCCUUUUAAAUUUCGCAUUUAUUUUUUAUUAUUUCUAUUUUGGUUAAAGUUGUAAUAAGGCCGCUCUAUUAUUUUUAUUUUGGGUUUUUAAAUUACUUAAAUCGUUUUCAACUUGAGAUUCACAUCACUUAAAUUGAUUCCUUAAAAUUGGUUAGCUCUAGGGCGCGUUUUAUAAAAGUUACUUAUUUUCAAAAUAUCACGAUAACUGAGCAAAGCUUUCGCAACGUAAAUGUUUUCAUAGGAAAUAAAUAUUUUAAAUAGACUUAAACUUAAUUUGUUGUGCGUGGACAAGUAAUAAGCUUAAAGUGUGGCAAUGGAUGUGUGCAUGUCUAGGAUUGGAUCAUGGAAGAGCUAGGUACUUAAGUAGUCUAAUUGACUCACCUCCUCUUUUCUGGCAUCCUACCUGGUGCACAGUUUCCAUUCACUUUAAUCUUUAAUGAAGAUAUUCUUUAAACAUUAAGAAAGACUUUAGAUAAAAUAUGACUUUUCUAGUAACGCUUCAAUGUGACACGCCGAAUUUGGUCGUAACGUCUGGGCCGGGUUUGGGGUGUUACACAUCCAGAUCAAGAGCCUGGAGGCAUGCCACCGCCUCAGCCGCAAAAAAUGAAGGUAUAUUCACAUUUAAAACAGUACUAGAGCAAAUCACUUUUGCUUUUUCAUUUCUGACUACUAAUCAUUUCGGCAUCGAAGUUUAUCUUGACUCUUGAACCACUCGGAGCUGCCCAUCUGUCCAUCGAGAUCCUUCUCUCAGGUACAUCCAUGUUCAAGCCUUCUAAUUCUUUCAAAUAGUUAAGAAGAAAAUCUGCAAUUUAGGAGCGCGAUUCCAUUUUCCCCUCAUGAAUAAACUUAUUUCUGGAGUUCCAAAUCGCCCAUAAUGCACAUGUAAACAGUCUACACUUGGAAACAGAAUGAGAGUAAAAAAUAUGAAUUAGAACUUCUUGAAAAUCAGCAUUAAGCUCUGAGCUAGGCCAGCAAAAGUUUAACUUUUCCCAUAUCUCUUUUGCAACAGGGCAGUCCCUGAAUAUAUGCUCUCUCGUUUCCGCUACUGCUUGGCACAUUCUACAAUUGGCAGAAACCAUCAACCUCUUGUAGUACAGAUUACUAUUGUUAGGGAGAUAGUUGCGAGAACAUCUCCACAUUAUAAUUUUGAUUUUAGUUGGCAGCUCUAUGUUCCAUAGUUUCUUGUAAAAUAAUUUGUACCUUUUCUGUAUUUGAUUCUGGCCUUCAUGUAAAAUAUACUUGUAUCCACUACGAACCGAGUAGUCUCUAGUUGGCUCUCCUCUCCAAAUAGUGAAGUCCUUAUGCGAGCUUAAGGCCAAUGGAAUACAUAAGAUCCUCUCAGCCUCCCUCUCCAUAAAUGUACUAUGAAUCAAAUCCACCUUCCAUUUUCGUGUAGAAGAAUCAAUCAAAUCUGCAACCUUAAUCACCCCUAAAUUGGGGUUUGAAUUCUGGAGUCUAACUUCCUCUAUUCCAGUGAUCCAAGCAUCUUUCCAAAUAGACACUUACUUACCAUCGCCAAUUCGCCAUCCUAAACCUUUCAUAAGGAGGCCCUUUGCAGCCCAAAUGCUUUGUCAGGUAAAGGAAGGUAAAUUGCCCAGCCUAGAUUUUAAAAAAUCAGAAUCUUUAUAAUAUUUUUCCUUCAAAUGUGACAGCCCUAAUUUGAACCUAGUCGAAAAGUGGUUGCGGGACCACAAAAUCGAGUCACAAAAUUAUUUAAAUGCUUUUUUCUAUAUUUAUUAUAUGUGAAGUAUCAUGUGUGAAAGUAUCAUGUCUUAAUUUUGUCAUUUGAAUGUGAAAUUAUUAAAAAGGACUUAUGUGUGAAACUUUGAAAAUGUGAUAGGUUAAAUUGUAGUGGUCAAAUAAUGCAUGGUUUAAAAAAAUGUGGACUUGCAUGUCAAAUUCCCCACUUUUGAGAUAGUGGCCGGCCAUGAUGAUAUUUGAUACAAAAUAUAUGUAUUUUAUAUUAGUAUUAUAAUAACUAAACGGUUUUAUAAUAUAAAAUAAAGAUAAGUAAAAUAGCUAAAGGGUGAAAAAAACAAAGUGCUCAUCUUUGUUUCUUCUUAGUCGAAUUUAAAGAAAGAAAAGGGAGCUAAGCCAUUCGGUCACCUUUAAGCUUGAAUUAAGGUAAGUAAUUCAUGUUAGUUCUUAAAAUUUUAGCAUAUUUUAAGCUAGUUACUAAGUCCCUUACUUAGCCCAUGUCAAAAUUUUGAAUUUUGUGGUGAUAUGAGCAAUCGGCCAUGGAAGA
rnacentral:lncRNA from 1 species